rnacentral:rRNA from 1 species
AGCGUAGGCGGGAUGGCAAGUCAGAUGUGAAACCUGAGGGCUCAACCUUCAGACUGCAUUUGAAACUGCUGUUCUUGAGUGAAGUAGAGGUAAGCGGAAUUCCUGGUGUAGCGGUGAAAUGCGUAGAGAUCAGGAGGAACAUCGGUGGCGAAGGCGGCUUACUGGGCUUUUACUGACGCUGAGGCUGAAAGCUGGGGAGCAAACA